rnacentral:rRNA from 1 species
CCUGGUGGCUAUGGCGAGGAAAGACCCACCCGAUCCCAUCCCGAACUCGGCCGUGAAAGUCCUCAGCGCCAAUGGUACUGCGUCUCAAGACGUGGGAGAGUAGGUCGCCGCCAGGU